rnacentral:rRNA from 1 species
UACGUAGGGGGCAAGCGUUGUCCGGAUUUAUUGGGCGUAAAGCGCUCGCAGGUGGUUCGUCGCGUCGUGCGUGAAAGACCCCGGCUCAACUGGGGGAGGUCGUGCGAUACGGGCGGACUGGAGGCCAGUAGGGGGAUGCGGAAUUCCGGGUGUAGUGGUGGAAUGCGUAGAGAUCCGGAGGAACACCAGCGGCGAAGGCGGCUCUUUGGUCUGUAACUGACGCUGAGGCGCGAAAGCGUGGGGAGCGAACAGG